UACGAAGGGGGCUAGCGUUGCUCGGAAUCACUGGGCGUAAAGGGUGCGUAGGCGGGUUCUUAAGUCAGAGGUGAAAUCCUGGAGCUCAACUCCAGAACUGCCUUUGAUACUGAGAGUCUUGAGUAUGACAGAGGUGAGUGGAACUGCGAGUGUAGAGGUGAAAUUCGUAGAUAUUCGCAAGAACACCAGUGGCGAAGGCGGCUCACUGGCCCGAUACUGACGCUGAGGCACGAAAGCGUGGGGAGCAAACAGG
rnacentral:rRNA from 1 species